rnacentral:rRNA from 1 species
GGAUUAGAUACCCUAUUAUUUUGGAUGUUAAUUAUGUAAACUUGAGUAGUAAUAGUAUAGGGUCUUGAAACUUAAAGAAUUUGGCGGUAUUUUAGUCUAUUUAGAGGAAUCUGUCCCUUUAUCGAUAAUCCACGUUGGACCUUACUUAAUUUAUAAUUAAAUAUGUAUACCGCCGUUUUUGAAAAUCUUUUUAGAGUUAAAUUUUCUUAAAAUUAUAAUGAAUUAUUUUUCAGGUCAAGGUGCAGUUUAUAAUUAAGUGGAGAUGGAUUACAAUAUUAUUUGGAUAUAUGAAUUAUUAAUUGAAAUCAUUAAUAUGAAAGUGGAUUUAAUAGUAAUAUUAUAAAGAUUGUUAAUGUGAUUUUAGCUCUAGAAUAUGCACACAUCGCCCGUCGCUCUCGUUAUGGAUAUAAGGCGAGAUAAGUC